rnacentral:rRNA from 1 species
GACGAACGCUGGCGGCGUGCCUAAUACAUGCAAGUUGAGCGAUGAAGAUUGGUGCUUGCACCAAUUUGAAGAGCAGCGAGCGGGUGAGUAACGCGUGGGGAAUCUGCCUUUGAGCGGGGGACAACAUUUGGAAACGAAUGCUAAUACCGCAUAACAACUUUAAACAUAAGUUUUAAGUUUGAAAGAUGCAAUUGCAUCACUCAAAGAUGAUCCCGCGUUGUAUUAGCUAGUUGGUGAGGUAAAGGCUCACCAAGGCGAUGAUACAUAGCCGACCUGAGAGGGUGAUCGGCCACAUUGGGACUGAGACACGGCCCAAACUCCUACGGGAGGCAGCAGUAGGGAAUCUUCGGCAAUGGACGAAAGUCUGACCGAGCAACGCCGCGUGAGUGAAGAAGGUUUUCGGAUCGUAAAACUCUGUUGGUAGAGAAGAACGUUGGUGAGAGUGGAGAGCUCAUCAAGUGACGGUAACUACCCAGAAAGGGACGGCUAACUACGUG